rnacentral:lncRNA from 10 species
GCGGCAAAAUGGCGGCGCCUGAGGAGCGGGAUCUAACCCAGGAGCAGACAGAGAAGCUGCUGCAGUUUCAGGAUCUCACUGGCAUCGAAUCUAUGGAUCAGUGUCGCCAUACCUUGGAACAGCAUAACUGGAACAUAGAGGUAUAAUAGGAUGUGUUCUGAGCUUAUUUCUUUUUCUCUGGUCUGAUUAAGAGUCAAAACCGUAUGUUUUUCCAUAGCAGGAAUCUUUUCAGUAGAUUUUUUUCAGAAUUAUGACUCUAAAAAUAAAAGUGCAGGAAGGUAAAGAAUGUGAGAAAGUUUAUAAAAUCAUAGAAAAAUUUGUGACUAAAUCCCUCAAUAUAGUGCCCCACCCCCUACUGUUUGUUAGUAUCUUGUUGGGAAAACAAUUGGUUUUUGUAUAUUUAGUUUUUAACCAGAUGUCUUGAUGUGAACCUUCUUCUUACAUAUUUUAUAGUUUAUUCUUUGGGGUUGUCUAGGUAGUCAUGUUCUCUGCAACUCUUCUCCUUGACCAUUGAAUUAGCAAGAACUUUAAAACACUGUCAGUUGAUAAUGGUAAUAGCAUUUUGUCCUCACUAUAAUGCCUCUGAUUUUUUUUUUUUGAGACAAAGUCUCGCUCCGUCUCCCAGGCUAGAGUGCAGUGGCGUGCUCUCAGCUCACUGCAACCUCUGCCUCCCAAGUUCAAGCGAUUCUCCUACCUCAGCCCCCUGAGUAGCUGGGAUUACAGGCAGACACCACUGCACCCGGCUAAUUUGUAUUUUUAGUAGAGACGGGGUUUCACCAUGUUGCCUAGGCUGGUCUUGAACUCCUGACCUCAGAUGAUCCGCCCCGCUCAGCCUUCCAAAGUGCUGGGAUUACAGGCGUGAGCCACCGCGCCCGGCCAUGCCUCUGAUUUUUUAUUAGCAAGUGUGAUGUUAGUUGUUACUUUGAGAUAGAUCUCCAAGGAUGUAAGCUCCCUAAGAGCAGAGAUUUUUUUGUUUUGUUUUAACUGCUGUAUUCCCAGCAUAUAACAUGGAAAUAAAUAUCUGUUGGUUUUUCCCUUCCAUUCUUAGUAUAUUAAUAGUUUAUACUGAGUGGAUGUUGAAUUUUGUCAAAACACCCUCUUGAUCCC